CAGAAUGAGGCAUGUAGUCCUUUCUUUGAACUUCCACAUAGUGUUCUGUCAGUAAGGAGGCUUUGUGGUUUUCGGUCCCCUGCUCAGUUAAUGAGAUGUAGAGGUAGCCAGUACUGGACCACCUCAUCUGUUUGUGCUUCCAGAGAUGCAAGGAACUACCCCAUAAAGUGAUCAUUCUCAGCAGAGAGAGUCAAACUGGCCAUGUUGCCAGCAAGAGUGUGCUGAGCUUUCGAGUCUCUGGUACCAAGAGGACAGUAAAAGAAAAGACUUUUCAUACUCCAAAAUGUAUGCUUAAAUAAGCUAUUUAAUCAGAAAAGGGCUUCAGAAGAGGGCGAAAUGGUAACUGAAGACUUGGCAUCAUUUUAAAUUCCAGAAAUGUGGGAGAAAACAAAGCCAACAAAAGAUUCUUCCGGUUUUGCCUGGAUUUCAGUUACAGUUCUUGGGCACUGAAUGACAGUAUCCACCAACAUAAAAAAAGACUCUAGAUAUUUUGAUAGAGGUUCAUUGCUCUGCAUAUCAAGGUCAAUCCCAAAGAUUGCUUUGGCCUAGAUUCCUUGCCGAUUCCUUGGAUGCUAUUUCGGUCCUUUCUGCUGUAUAUGCAACUUUCAAAAUGUUGCUUAUUAUGAACGGGAAGUCUUUGGGCUUUUGUUUCUGAACUUACUUCAUUUGGCAGUUAACAAAAUCCAUUAUCUCUUUAUUUUUCACUUCCUUUUUUGGACUUUGAAGUUUAUUGUUUAGGUUGGACAUCAGUUCGAACAAUGAAGUUACUGUGAGCAAGUUUGACUUGAGAGCUUCAGUACUAUCUGUGAAUGUUUUUCGAGCAUGGUUCAAGAAGAAAUAGUACAAUUCAGCAUCUCCAAAACUACCCCAUAUUACUUUAUUGCAUUUAUCUUCCCCCAAAGAUUGAAAGUAACUUGUAAACCCUUUUCAACACAUUGCCGGUUGUUCAAUGAGCAAGUACAAGUGACAGCCAAGGUGUGACUACAUGGCCUAGAAUUUUACUGUAUUUUACCCCAGCAAAUUGGCCAAGUUCUUUAAAGCUGUUGAACUCUGUGACUGAAUUCUUAAAUGGCUGUAAACUUUUUAAACUAGGUUUUCUACAUCAAUGUUUAAUUUGGUCGCUGCAAAUCUUGUGUUGCUGCGUAUGACAUGAGCUAAACAAUUGGUAACAACGUCACUUUUUUCUCUGUUUUUGGAAAACCGUUAAAUUUAGAAUAAUUAACACCCACAUUGUCUUCUGUAUAUGCUGACACAUUUGAUAAUUUUAGUCUAAAUUCAUCAAUCCUAUUGAUUAGGUUGGUAGUGAUUUGCUUGAGAAGUUUCAUGACAGUCUUCAUAAAAAUCUAAUAAACAAUAUUGAAUGUGGUAACACAGUGGAGUGCUGUAAAAUAUGUGGGAAGCCUUUCAUGAAAUCUUUAUUGGAAAUACCCAGUUAUUUUGAAUAAUAAAUGUUCUCUUUAAGGUCAUCUGUACACUUAGAAACAGAAUAUGGGGCUAGCCCAUUUUCACAAAGUGCUUUUGAUUUACUUUUU